rnacentral:ncRNA from 1 species
GUGCUUGAUGGUGGUGUUCAGCGGUUUAAUCAGCAGGCUGUUAUCCGCCAGUUGCACAUCACCGCUGGCCCUGACCUGCUGGCCGUUCAACGGAAUAUCGAGAUGUAAGCGCCCACUGACAUCGCCGCCGAUCUGCAAUUCAUCCAGCGCGGCCCCCAGCGAGCCUUUCAGGGGGGUCUGGUUGAAGUAAUUUCCCACUUCUUUACCCGCACCCCGGAUAUCGGCAUCCACCAGCAGCUUCUGUUUCAGGUAAUCCGGGAUUGCGGCCACCACAUUAUUGCCCUGCACCUGCCCCAGCGUGGUAUGGGCCGCUUUCAUAAACAGGCCGUCGUUGAGGAAGUUGAGGUCGAUGUCCAGAUCCUGCAACGCCGGCCAGCCCGGCUGGAAGCGGAAGGUGGACGCGCGCAGCGGC